rnacentral:rRNA from 1 species
GACGAACGCUGGCGGCGUGCCUAAUACAUGCAAGUCGAGCGGAACUGGGGGAGCUUGCUCCUUCCAGUUUAGCGGCGGACGGGUGAGUAACACGUGGGCAACCUGCCCUGCAGAUCGGGAUAACUCCGGGAAACCGGUGCUAAUACCGAAUAGUUUGGCGCCUCUCCUGAGGCGCUACGGAAAGACGGUUUCGGCUGUCACUGCAGGAUGGGCCCGCGGCGCAUUAGCUAGUUGGGGGGGUAACGGCCCACCAAGGCGACGAUGCGUAGCCGACCUGAGAGGGUGACCGGGCACCCUGGGACUAAGACACGGCCCAGACUCCGACGGGAGGCAGCAGUAGGGAAGCUUCCGCAAUGGACGCAAGUCUGACGGAGCAACGCCGCGUGAGUGACGAAGGUUUUCGGAUCGUAAAACUCUGUUGUGAGGGAAGAACACGUACCAACUAACUAUUGGUACCUUGACGGUACCUCACCAGAAAGCCACGGCUAACUACGUGCCAGCCGCCGCGGUAA